UUGUGAUUCUGAAUAGGCUUUGGUGGCGACAAAAAUGGCGAACUCAGCCGCUGUGGCUACCUGGAGAAGUUUUAAAUGUACGACCUAACAGCUUUCUAGAUUAUCUAAGAUGCGUCAUUUCUGAAAUCCAUGAAACCGAAGUUGAGUUUGGAGUUUUACCUGAAGUGAAGAUUGAAGACGUGAUAGAAGAUGGACGACUACUGCUAUGCUAAGAUGGCGACGUCAUGUAAAAAAGAAACUGAAAGAGAAUCAGCGCCACCAACUUCCAGCAAAUCACCAACGGAGAAAGCGACGAAAAGUGCAGAUAAAAAACAGCGUCUUGAAGUUUCCAACAACGCGAUUCUGGAGGCUAUCAUCAACCCUGAAAAGACCGUCGCUGAGAUAAUAGCCGAUCUUGUUGAGCAAGUCAAACAAAGAAACGCCAUGAUUGUCAGCUUGAAGAAGGCAGUGGAGUUCACAUCAGCGGAGAUGAAAGAAUGCAAAAGUCAAAUGAAGAAAGUGGAAGAGCAGAACAAGCGCUUGUGUAAAGAAAAUGAUGAUUUGAAAGAAGAGAUGUUGUGGAAGAGUAAGAGAUGUGCAGUGUGUGAAGAGAAGACUGGACCACAUGUCUACAUCAACCUGCAGAGGACUGCAGAUGUCCAGCAGCCGAUUGGUCAUCCAGAAGAACUUUCUUCCCGGUCGCUGGGGGGGAGCUCCACUUUAAAGCCGGGAGCGUCACAGCCCCCCCACGUUAAAGAGGAAGAAGAUGAACUUUGGAUCUCACAAAAGGGAGAGUGUCAUCUAGGACUGGAGGAGGCGGAUCUCACCAAGUUGCCACUGACAGUCGUCACUGUGAAGACUGAAGAUGACGAAGAGAAACCACAAGCAGACAACCUUUUAGCGCCGCUCUCACAUAGUGAGGCUGAAGAUGAGGUUGAAGAAACUUUGAGCAGCGACACAGACUGUGAAGUUGAUGUGAGGAUGGACAGCAAACACCGCAAAGAUAAGACAGAAAAAAGUUGGAGCUGUUCAUUUUGUGCCAAAAUCUUUACUAAAAAAAGCAAUUUAACUUACCACGUGAGAACACACUUGGGUGAGAAACCAUUUAGUUGUUCAAUUUGUGGUAAAAGCUAUGCUCAAAGGAGCAUUUUGUCUGACCACAUGAGAGCGCACACUGGAGAAAAACCGUUCUGCUGCUCCGUUUGCGACAAGAGCUUUUCACAGAAGAGGUAUUUGACCGAACACAUGAGAGCACACACAGAAGAAAACCCAAUUAAGUGUUCAGUUUGUGGCAAAAGCUUCACUAAAAAUAGCAAUUUGACCCAACACAUGAGAACGCACACGGGGGAAAAACCAUUUAACUGCUCAGAUUGUGGCAAAAGCUUUUUUUCCAGAGCUGGUUGGACCCGACACAUAAUGAAACACACUGGAGAAAAACAAUUUAGUUGUUCAGUCUGCAAUAAAAGAUUCCUGUAUAAUGCAGACAUGGUACGACACAUAAGAACUCACACUGGAGAGAAACCAUUCAAAUGUUCAAUAUGCGGUAAAUGUUACACUCAAAGUGGAACUUUGUCUCAUCACAUGAGAACACACUCGGGAGAAAAGACAGGGAGUUGCUAAAUUUGUGGUAACUGAUUUACCCAUAAUUCAAUUAUGGUAGCACAAGUAACCUUUUAGUAGCGAAAACUUCAAAGACUUCUUAAAGGCCUACUGAAAUGAGAUUUUCUUAUUCAAAUGGGGAUAGCAGGUCCAUUUUAUGUGUCAUACUUGAUCAUUUCACGAUAUUGCCAUAUUUUUGUUGAAAGAAUUUAGUAGAGAAUAUCCACGAUAAAGUUCGCAACUUUUGGUGCUGAUAAAAAAGCCUUGCCUGUACCGGAAGUAGCAGAUGAUAUGCAUGUGACAUCACGGGUUGUGGAGCUCCUCACAUCUGAAUAUUGUUUACAAUCAUGGCCACCAGCAGUGAGAGCGAUUCGGACCGAGAAAGCGACGAUUUCCCCAUUAAUUUGAGCGAGGAUGAAAGAUUCAUGGAUGAGGAAAGUGAGAGUGAAGGAUUCGGGAAAAAAAAGACUAUACAGUGGGAGCGACGCAGAUGUUAUUAGACAAAUUUACUGGGAUAAUUCUGUAAAAUCCCUUAUCUGCUUAUUGUGUUACUAGUGUUUUAGUGAGAUUAUAUGGUCGUACCUGUACAACCUGAAAGUCGGCCUCGCACCUUUCUUCAGCACCAGUCGACGGGUAUUGGCGAUGCCCAUCUCUGCCCUUCGCAAGGGACCCUUUUCGAAACACGAUCUUUCGAAAUGAUCGCUGCAUUAUACACUGUACUUUGUGUCUGUGGUCCAAUCCAACCGUGUUCGCUUGACCGCUCUGUUCCAUAGUAAAGCUUCACCAUAGUCUUUUGGGAACUGUCACGUUCGGUGCGCAUUGCGAUGCGCGGAGGUGUCAACUCAAGAUGCAUGGGACCAGACAAGCAAGUUAGCAGGUAGGAGCUGGAUUUAAUUUAUAAAAUGACAAAAGAACACUGACGCAAAUACAAAAGAAAGCGCGUGCAACGCACGGGGAGCUAGGCUAACACUAGCCCUGGGUAAAAGUCCAAAAGCUGCGCGUGUCAUGCGCCCAAAAGCUAAGGUGGAACUUAGCAAGCCAAAAACAGGACCAGAUAAACGAACGUGCAUGUUGCAUUAAGCCAGUGAAGAACUCAGGCAGAACAAAGGUAGUAGGCAGGUAUAAAUACAGAAACGGGUGUCAGUGCAGGUGGAACAAAUGAAGUCGCUAUGGUGACGAAUACAAACAAGGAAGUGCUCAAAUAAUGGGAUCGGCAGAGUCCAAAAUGUGAUCAAAACAUACACAAAAGCAAACAACAAACGAUCCAUGUAGUGGAUCGUAACAGGAACGUAAACAAUGAAACACCGGCUGUGUUUGUGUUGCUAAAGGCAACACAAUACACCGCUUCCCAUCUACAGCUUUCUUCUUUGACGUCUCCAUUAUUCAUUGAACAUAUUGCAAAAGAUUCAGCAAAAGAUGUCCAUAAUACUGUGUAAUUAUGCGAUGAAAACUGACUACUUAUAGCUGGGAACGGUGCUGGAACAAGAUAUCCUCUACAAAGCGUCAUCAUACCGCGACGUUUUAGCAUGAUACUUCCGCGCGAAAUUUAAAAUUGCAAUUUAGUAAACUAAAGCGGCCGUAUUGGCAUGUGUUGCAAUGUUAAUAUUUCAUCAUUGAUAUAUAAACUAUCAGAAUGCGUGGUCGCUAGUAGUGGCUUUCAGUAGGCCUUUAAUUGUGAAGUCUUCAAUACAUCCAUCCAUUUCCCACCCAUUUUCUACCGCUUAUUCCCUGUUGGGGUCGCGGGGGGCGCUGGCGCCUCUCUCAGCUACAAUCGGGCUGAAGGCGGGGUAGACCCUGGACAAGUCGCCACCUCAUCGCAGGGCCAACACAGAUAGACAGACAACAUUCACACUCACAUUCACAUUUAGUGUUGCCAAUCAACCUAUCCCCAGGUGCAUGUCUUUGGAGGUGGGAGGGGCCUAUCCCCAGGUGCAUGUCUUUGGAGGUGGGAGGAAGCCGGAGUACCCGGAGGGAACCCACGCAUUCACGGGGAGAACAUGCAAACUCCACACAGAAAGAUCCCGAGCCUGGAUUUGAACCCAGGACUGCAGGACCUUCGUAUUGUGAGGCAGACGCACUAACCCCUCUGCCACCGUCAAGCCCUUCAAUACAUCCAUCCAUCCAUUUUCUACUGCUUGUCCCUCUUAUGGUAGCAGAUCAUAGCUGCAAGUCGGGAUCUAAGACAUACAAUUUUAGGGUUCGACACAUGCUGAAACACACACAAAAACCCUUCCUUGAAUUUGUAGUAAGAGGUUCUCUAAACAGGGAGUCAUUUUAGCACUCAUGAGAUCACAAAGGGGAAGAACCUUUUAAACCUCUCACUGCUGUCUUGGAGCCACUAUGGAUUGAACUUUCACAGUAUCAUGUUAGACCCGCUCGACAUCCAUUGCUUUCGGUCCCCUAGAGGGGGGUGGUUGCCCACUUCUGAGGUCCUCUCCAAGGUUUCUCAUAGUCAGCAUUGUCACUGGCGUCCCACUGGAUGUGAAUUCUCCCUGCCCACUGGGUGUGAGUUUUCCUUGCCCUUUUGUGGGUUCUUCCGAGGAUGUUGUAGUCGUAAUGAUUUGUGCAGUCCUUUGAGACAUUUGUGAUUUGGGGCUAUAUAAAUAAACAUUGAUUGAGUGAUUGAAAUGAUCCGUUCGUGGCUAAGGUUAUUGGUGUAAGAAAUGACUGCUCCUACACAUGCAGACACACAAUGGAAAAAUCGAAAUUCCCGUCAGAUUAUUGCACAAUGGAAGUGUGACGUCAUAUUUAAGAAGUCACCCAAAAAGUGGUCCCAGAUUAUCUCAUAAGUGAGUCGUGAGGAGAGAAGCAGCUACACAAAUUUGAUGGGUUGUUUGUGAGUAAUAUUACAUAUUCCAAAACAAAAUUAAGUGAGAACCUUUUACACAGAUUUUCAAUAUGCUGGAGAAAACACAACCAUAAUCAUAGUAUAGAUAUAUGUAGUUAUGUACAUGUGCUGGCGAAGAAGUGGUCUUAUAAAGCAAAACUAAAAUACCGUUUUUCAAAAUGGCUCCUGACUUGUCUAAUUUAGUACUACUGUGGCUGGGGAGUGAAUAAUACUGUUGUGGUAUUUAUAUUUAUUUUAGAUUAGAAUAGAAUAGACGUUAUUGUCAUUAUAUUUGCAUAUAACGAGAUUAAAGACUCCAACUGAAGGUGCGGUUGUGGGAACAAAUAUGGGGGAAAAUAAACAACACAAGAGGGAAUAAAGGAAAAACUAACAAUUGAAAUAAACAGACUAUAUUAGUUUAGGAUAGUUGGGGCGGCAUAGCUCGGUCGGUAGAGUGGCAAGGCCAGUAACUUGGGGGUUGCAGGUUCGAUUCCCGCUUGUGCCAUCCUAGUCACUGCCGUUGUGUCCUUGGGCAAGACACUUUACCCACUCGCUCCCAGUGCCACCCGCACUGGUUUAAAUGUAACUUAGAUAUUGAGUGUCACUAUAUAAAGUGCUUUGAGUCACUUGAGAAAAGCGCUAUAUAAAUAUCAUUCACUUCACUUUGGUUUAGCAUUUGAAAUAAAGCAAAAAAAAAAAAAGAAUCUAAUCAAAUCCAAGAAAUAAGCACACAUUUUAAGAAUAGAUCCAAAUAUCGAUGUUAUUGAUACCAAUGGCACCGUAGGUACCAGAUCGAUACCCGAGUGAUGAUAUCGAUAUUUUUCACAAAUAGUUUAAUGGUCAUGUUGGAUAUGCAUUUUGUGUGACUCAAAACUUUAUGUGGUGAAGGAGAAUAAGGGAACACUUUUAUUAUUUUGUUUAUUGUAUUAUUUUGUAUAUUGUCCUGCAAAUGCUGAUUAAAAUAAAUAUUUGAUUGCCAAAA